GAAUUGAAGUUUAGGUAUUAAUGUUAAUAUUGUAUUGUGUUCUUUAUUUAUUCAUUGUAAUCUUUUAUUUGCAGGUGGUGUGUUGGAGCGAUGGGCCGGAAGAAGCGUAAGGAAGAUAACAUGCUGAGACAACGAGCAGCGAGUGGACAGAACACCGUAGUAAUUGGCGGCCGGCGCGUGGGCCUGCUGAUGCAAAUUGAUAGUACUUGUUAUUUGUUUAAGCAAAUAAAUGAAUGACUAGGAAUUGACAAGUUGUGAUCACACUUAGGAACGAGGGAGCGUGCAGUAGGUGCAGACACAGAGUAGUUGAAACAGCGGUUCUGUGAAGGCGUUGGGGAUUAGUUUUGGUUUUCAGGUGUGAGUGCAGUACGCAGUGGCAAUUUGUACGGGAUCCAAGCGGACGCACCACUCCCCGCCCGUCCUAUCAUUGCAUAACAUUCAAUACAGGCAAGACAGACGGAAAACAGGGCGUCCAGUUGGACGCGGAGCAGUGCUGUUAUUGAUUGGUGAUUGGCAGGUGAGUUUAUUGUGAAGAAUUAUUAAGUUAUUGUUGUAUAUUUAAUUGUGUGUAGGUAAGACGUAUUUUAUUGAUGUGUUAGUAGUGUUUGUCUGGCGAGUUUGUUAGUUUGUUAGUGAUUUUUGUUGCGGCAGUCUUUAGUGUGAGAACUGUUGUUUUGUCGUUGUUGAACUUAGAGUUGUGUAAGUGUUUUAAAGGUUGAGAUGUUUUAUUAGUUUGUAGUGUGUCAGAAAAUUGGUUAUUAGUUGUGUUGUGUGUGACAUGAGUUGGAUGCGUUGUUGUAGUUGCGUUUCAGUUAUAGCCUCUUUUGAUUACCAACGUAAAGUCUAUAUCGUGCUAAUUAUGUGACUUUUAAGUGACUGUUUAUUUUAAUGCCAAUGUAAUUUAAUGUGCUAUGUUUGACUGUUGAAAGAGGCAGAGUUGCGGUUAGUAAGUGGCGUGUUUCGAAUUUUAUUAUUUA